AUGCCACAUGCAAAUGGUCCCUGCCCCUGCAGCGUCAUGGUGCCUGCCUGCCUCCCUUCCUUCCUUCCUCCCUCCUUCCUUCCUUCCUCCCUCCUUUCCUCUCUCCCUCCUUCCCUUCUUUCCUUCCUUCCUCUCCCUUCCUUCCUCCCCUUCCUUCCUCCCUCCUUCCCUCUCUCCCUCCUUCCCUUCCUACCUUCCUUCCUUCCUCCCCCUCCCUUCCUCCCUCCUUUCCUCUCUCCCUCCUUCCCUUCCUUCCUUCCUCCCUUCCUUCCUCCUUCCUUCCUCCUUCCUUCCUUCCUCCCUUCCUUUCUUCCUCCCCUUUCCUUCCUCCCUCCUUCCCUUCCUUCCUUCCUUCCUUCCUCCCCCUCCCUUCCCCCCUCCUUUCCUCUCUCCCUCCUUCCCUUCCUGCCUUCCUUCCUCUCCCUUCCUUCCUCCCCUUCCUUCCUCCCUCCUUCCCUCUCUCCCUCCUUCCCUUCCUACCUUCCUUCCUUCCUCCCCCUCCCUUCCUCCCUCCUUUCCUCUCUCCCUCCUUCCCUUCCUUCCUUCCUCUCCCUUCCUUCCUCCCUCCCUCCUUUCCUCUCUCCCUCCUUCCUUCCUUCCUCCCCUUUCCUUCCUCCCUCCUUCCCUUCCUGCCUUCCUUCCUCCUUCCUUCCUUCCUCCCCCUCCCUUCCUCCCUCCUUCCUUCCUUCCUCCCCUCCUUCCCUUCCUGCCUUCCUUCCUCCCCCUCCUUCCUUCCUCCCUCCCUCCUUUCCUCCCUUCCUUUCUUCUGCCCCUUUCCUUCCUCCCUCCUUCCUUCCUUCCUUCCUUCCUUCCUCCCUCCUUCCUUCCUUCCUUCCUUCCUCCCUUCCUUCCUUCCUUCCUUCCUCUCCCUUCCUUCCUCCCCUUUCCUUCCUCCCUCCUUCCCUCUCUCCCUCCUUCCUUCCUUCCUCCCUCCUUUCCUCUCUCCCUCCUUCCUCCCUCCUUUCCUCUCUCCCUCCUUCCUUCCUUCCUCCCUCCUUCCUCCCUCCUUUCCUCUCUCCCUCCUUCCCUUCCUUCCUUCCUCUCCCUUCCUUCCUCCCUCCCUCCUUUCCUCCCUUCCUUUCUUCUGCCCCUUUCCUUCCUUCCUUCCUUCCUUCCUUCCUUCCUUCCUUCCUCCCUCCCUCCUUUCCUCCCUUCCUUCCUCCCCCUCCCUUCCCCCCUCCUUUCCUCUCUCCCUCCUUCCUUCCUUCCUUCCUUCCUCCCUCCUUCCUUCCUUCCUCCCCCUCCCUUCCUCCCUCCCUCCUUUCCUCCCUUCCUUUCUUCUGCCCCUUUCCUUCCUCCCUCCUUCCCUUCCUGCCUUCCUUCCUCCCCCUCCCUUCCUCCCUCCUUCCUCCCUCCUUCCCUCUCUCCUUCCUUCCUUCUUCCUUCCUUCCUUCCUUCCUUCCAUUCAUUCUCCCUUCCUUAUUUUCUGUCUCUUUCUCAGCUACUUACUCCACUACUAAUGGGGUGAGUGCUCAGACCUGGACCGAUUACGAUCCACAGUUUGAGCCUGCCCUCCCCCGUGGACCUCCCACCUAG
rnacentral:lncRNA from 1 species